rnacentral:rRNA from 2 species
CCAAAGCGGAGGAAAAGAAACCAACAGGGAUUGCCUCAGUAACGGCGAGUGAAGCGGCAACAGCUCAAAUUUGAAAUCUGGCCCCCCGGCCCGAGUUGUAAUUUGCAGAGGAUGUUUCUGGCAAGGUGCCUUCCGAGUUCCCUGGAACGGGACGCCAUAGAGGGUGAGAGCCCCGUCCGGUUGGUCGCCGCGCCUAUGUGAAACUCCUUCGACGAGUCGAGUAGUUUGGGAAUGCUGCUCUAAAUGGGAGGUGUACGUCUUCUAAAGCUAAAUACCGGCCAGAGACCGAUAGCGCACAAGUAGAGUGAUCGAAAGAUGAAAAGCACUUUGAAAAGAGGGUUAAACAGUACGUGAAAUUGUUGAAAGGGAAGCGUUUAUGACCAGACGUGGGCCGGUUGAUCACCCGUCGUUCUCGGCGGUGCACUCUGCCGGCUCAGGCCAGCAUCAGCUGGCCCCGGGGGACAAAGGCGUCGGGAAUGUAGCUCCUCCCGGGGAGUGUUAUAGCCCGUCGCGUAAUACCCUGGGGUCGGCUGAGGUACGCGCUCUGCAAGGAUGCUGGCGUAAUGGUCAUCAGCGACCCGUCUUGAA